rnacentral:rRNA from 1 species
CACGUAGGGCGCAAGCGUUGUCCGGAAUUAUUGGGCGUAAAGAGCUCGUAGGCGGUCUGUUGCGUCUGCUGUGAAAACUCGGGGCUUAACCCCGAGCCUGCAGUGGAUACGGGCAGACUAGAGGUAGGUAGGGGAGAAUGGAAUUCCCGGUGUAGCGGUGAAAUGCGCAGAUAUCAGGAGGAACACCGGUGGCGAAGGCGGAUCUCUGGGCCAUUACUGACGCUGAGGAGCGAAAGCGUGGGGGAGCGAACAGG